GUGGAACAGCACAUUGGAGCUGUAGAGUUUGGUCAGGAUGACACUCUUCUGGUUUCCUUCCGGGUCAGAGUAGCAGGGGAAGUGCUGGUGCCUCCUGAAGUUCUCCAUGACGACACUCACAAGGGACAUGGACUCCUCAAAGUUGUUUCCACACUUAGGAAUAUAGGAGCACUGUGAAGAAUGAGACAAGCUAUCAUUAGGAGGAGAGACUGUGGGAAAAAUGGCUGCAGAUGGGAGAGCAGAAUAAAAGACUGAGCACAAUGAACACACAGAGUCGUGGGCCUCUGGAAGUUAAUGCUUACUGCACACAUCAGUGACAGUCUGUGCUGUGCCGAAGUCUACGUAAACAGAGUGGUGGCCUGUGGAAGGAUAACCACUGUGAAGGGAAAUGUGCAAGAGAGUUAAGAGUCCAUGAGGCUCACUUCCUAGAAAUAAGCACCAAUGCGCUCGGAGGCCAGAGUCAGCCUGUCUUGGCUUCAAGAAUAUUCUGGACAUCUAAGCUGCUACCAUAAAACUCAAACCUAAUAUACACAUAUCUUGAAAUUGAUAACCAAUGGCAGAUUGGUUCAAUUAAAACACAAUUGAUCAUCCAA